rnacentral:rRNA from 1 species
AGUGAACGCUGGCGGUAGGCCUAACACAUGCAAGUCGAACGGCAGCACAGUAAGAGCUUGCUCUUACGGGUGGCGAGUGGCGGACGGGUGAGGAAUACAUCGGAAUCUACUUUUUCGUGGGGGAUAACGUAGGGAAACUUACGCUAAUACCGCAUACGACCUACGGGUGAAAGCAGGGGAUCUUCGGACCUUGCGCGAUUGAAUGAGCCGAUGUCGGAUUAGCUAGUUGGCGGGGUAAAGGCCCACCAAGGCGACGAUCCGUAGCUGGUCUGAGAGGAUGAUCAGCCACACUGGAACUGAGACACGGUCCAGACUCCUACGGGAGGCAGCAGUGGGGAAUAUUGGACAAUAGGCGCAAGCCUGAUCCAGCCAUACCGAGUGGGUGAAAGAGGCCUUCGGGUUGUGAAGCCCUUUUGUUGGGAAAGAAAAGCAGCAGGUUAAUACCCCGCUGUUCUGACGGUACCCAAAGAAUAAGCACCGGCUAACUUCGUG